CUUUCCCACUCUUUCUCUCUGAACCGAAUCACACCACCACGCCAUUUCUACCCUCUCUCUCUGGAACGAAAUCCUCAUCGCCAUCACGCCAGUACUCCGUGAAUCGGAGAAGAUAAGGGACGUUGAGUUUGAGAGAUUUCGGGAAUGGAAACAUCAGAUCGCGAUGAGAAGGUUGCACGACUCUUCCCCUGGACUUGUAUUUCAACGCGGAAUUCGAAUUGCAUGUAGGUCGCGAUACAUGCGUUGAUGGACUCACGAUUUUGUUGACGAAUUUACCAUAGGAUGCCAACGGAGCUACCAUGGUUUCUAGGGUUAAUCGCACGAACUUGUUAUGGGAGGAGUUGGUUGCUCAGAACAAGUGUUUGUAGUUAUUGGAGCCUAUGCUUCCUAGCUAGAUUUUGACACCAUCCAUGCUAGAUUUUAAGUACCUGCACCGGGCGCAAUGGACUUGAAUAAUGUGUGAGUAUAUUUCGGACAUGGGUGAUAGAACAUAUUCACAAGAUAUAAACUAAUUUGAGCCUAUGUAGUGUUGCUUUGAUAGUUCUAUGGAAGAGUCAUUUUGAGUUUCUAAGAUGAUUUUGAACAUUUCUUUGAAAUGGACGAUAUUGAAAUGGGCAUUGGAAUUUAUUUCAGUUUUGUACGCGAUUUAGCCAAAGGAUGUGUAUGGAUGGAAGAAUGUUUUGUUUACAUUACGCCUCCGUGCACUCAUGAGUCUCACGCUUAUUCUCGCACCCAUGGUAUAUUUGCCCAUUUCUUGUUUUCAUUGUUGUACAAAUAUUAAAAAAAGCUAACUCAAUGAAAAAAGAAAAUCCCAAAUCAUAUGCAACGCAUGCCCAAUCGUAAUGUUUGUUAUUGACUAAUGUUUGGUGGGAAAGGGUGAGGGAGAGGGGAAAGGGAACUUUUUAAUUCAUUCGGCAUUGUUUUACAACGGAAAUGGUGGGAAUUGGUGAGAAACAAACUUGUUGGUCUCUAAGAAACAAUGAGAUUGCUCAGUAAAUUCAAAUGUCAACAAAGAAAGGUCAUUCCCAUUCUUAUCUCUGAUGCUUUCCUUUCUAACUCAUCAAACAUGAUCAUGUGAAAACCCAAUCCUUUCUUUUAAACUGACUAAUAUGGUGGAGAGAAGGUUUUCUGUGUGUGAUAGUUCUAUUUUAAACUGAAAUGGACUGAGAGUCUAGGGUAAAACAUCCUGUAUAAGCAAAGACAAAAUUUUUUUGCUUUGUUUUUUAAUCUGAAAGAAACACAAACUAAUAAUGCCUAUAUACUCUGUUUGGUUUUGUUGUCAGAAUAUGGAGAAUGCAAUGGUAGUGUUGAAAUCUAAUGUUGUUGAUCUUGCCAUGGGAAUGUAAGUCCAUAUGCAUGGGUUAAAUAUGUGUCUAGCGAGCCCAUACGUCCCAACCAACCCAAUGAAGGAAUGAGAAAACCCGAAUGAGACAAAAGAGGGCAUUUAUAUUGCUAAAAGGUUUUGAGUUGAUAAAAGGUGUAAACCUUGACCCGAUGCCAUUUGACAUGGACUGAGAUCUUCUCACCCCCAACUUCCAAGAAGAAGAGGGACAAGUUUCUUAAAUACUAUCAGGUAAGCUCCUGUGAUCCAUGCACUUAGAUUGGUCAAAGACUGAGACAAGUGGAGAAGUACCAUGUGUAACAAUGUUUGGUCAUUCGAUAACUAAUUUACGUGUUCUGUAGCAGCCUAUGUUUCAAGGAGUGCUUCUGGUUUCUGACUUUAUUAUUUGUAUACUUAGAGUCUAGAAGAUCAACAUUGUGUGGGGGGCUCAUCAUUGUGUUCUGAACCCCACAACCUAAUGAAGUGGGUAGGAGUAUUGUUGGCUAUGAGAAUGUCCAUGAUGAAAUCCAAGCUAACUGAGUGAAACGCCUUCAUAAGUUCAACCUUUAUGGCGCACCGUGGGGAACCUUGAAGCCUAUCAUUCAAACAUUCCAGUUUUGUUAGUCUCUAUAUUUUUUGAUAGUUGAUUUCACUUACA